UACGUAGGGUGCGAGCGUUGUUCGGAAUUACUGGGCGUAAAGGGCGCGUAGGCGGUCUUGUAAGUCUUGUGUGAAAUCCCUCGGCUCAACUGAGGAACUGCACGGGAUACUGCGAGACUUGAGUUCGGGAGAGGGAAGCGGAAUUCCGGGUGUAGCGGUGAAAUGCGUAGAUAUCCGGAGGAACACCGGUGGCGAAGGCGGCUUCCUGGACCGAUUACUGACGCUGAGGCGCGAAAGCUAGGGGAGCAAACGGG
rnacentral:rRNA from 1 species